CAGGUAGGACUACCCGC
rnacentral:rRNA from 1 species